UACAGGUGGACCCCAUGUGUCAUUUCCUCCACUCUUCCCUCUCCACAACCGUCUCCAAUUAGUGCAUGCUGCACGAUCAGAGAAACCGGCAUCUCCCCCACGUUGCUUGGCCUCUCGCCUUAGGCCCUGUAGCACUACCCCGCCAACCCUCCAGGGAACGCACUCGCUUCUGCUCAUCCAACACCCUUCUCCUAGGCGGUCCUGCAUCCCCCAUAUGGCGCUUUUCCCCUUUGUCCUUGGUCAGCGGCGGUGCUGCAGACCGGUGCAAUACUCGCAUCCUCGACGCUCGCCAAGUGCUUGAUGAAAGGCCAGCAAGCUCUGCUCCCUUUCCCGCGAUCCUCGGUCAGCGCUUCCUCUCUCCUCCAUGAUUGAGUGCGUCCGUGUUGCAGCCUCGACGUCGUCCGCCUCCUGGUGCCCCAUUGCGGCCGUGACGUUCACUGUCCGCAUCCGCGUUUCGCCGUUCGUCGUUGGCUCGCCUCGCCGUCGCUUCGCGUCAUGCGCGCAGCACGUUGUCGUGCCUCGCCACUAGCUUGUUUGGCCGUCUGCCGUCGUUGCAAGACUGCGAUCUAUUUCCGAGCUUCGAAGAAUCGACAGUCAAGCUUGGCGACCAACGGAUCGAACUCUUCGAGUUCUACGAGGCUGAAGAUCCUGAGCAUCUGUUUGGUGAAGGCAAGUGUCCUCUGACCCAUUAUGUCCCAUUUACUUUAUAAUACACUAUCCCGCAUACUAUGAACAACCUAAGGAUUUACUAGCUUUCUAUUUACCUUGUCCUUGAUUUACCCUUUUGGGUUACUAUGGUUAGCUAUAUGCUAGCGCUUUACUUUAAUCAAUGAACAUGAUGAGAUACAAUGAUGAUACUAUGAUUUUAUUCUGGAUAUGAUGAUAUACUUGUGGCAUUUAGGGGACUCGAGCAGUUUCUCGAGUGCCUCUCCGUAAGGACCUGUUCGUUGAGAGACCACCCGGGAUAACAGUGCAACCAUGAGGGUGAAAUGGGAGGCCCUUAGCUAAUUAAUUAGAGGAACUAGAGGUGUAGUUGCUUCGCCGUCGUGCCGUCAAUGGGGUCCAGGCACAGUGCUUGCUCUGCCGAGGCUGGGUGCCGAGGUUCUUUCGUUUUGCUUUUGUUAGUCACCCCCUUCGGGGAGAGGUACUGUGUUUAUCAAACUGGAGAAACCUAACGGGCGGCUAGGACCUCUAGGGAAUCUUUGUAAAAACUACGUAGUGAUACCCUGCCGGACCACCUAGGAAGUGAUCAAUGGGGAGUCAUGAUCCCCGGGCAAAACGGGAAUCACGGCUCAUGGGUAAAGUGUGCGACCUCUACAGAGGGUAAUGAAACUGAUAUAUCAGACGUGCUCACGGUUAUGAGCGGCCUUGGGAUCCUCUUUGAUUAGAGAUACAGAUGAUCUUAGAUACAAUGGUUCUAUUUAUGGUUUUGGUUCGAUGAUAAUAAUGAUGUUCCUCGAUGAGGAAAUGAUUCACGGGUUGGUUAUUACUAAAACUUGGCUUCCACUAAUAAUAAAUACUUGACCAACUAAAAGAAACUGCUUUGACCUUAACCCCACAUAAAGCUAGUCCACCUCAGCCAAACGGGACAUUUGCUGAGUACGUUGAUGUGUACUCACCCUUGCUUUCACAAAACACCAGGUUGCCUUUGGUGCAAUCUAUGCUCAGGUAAAGAAGAAGGCGUCGAGGCGGAUCUCCAGGAGUUCCAGGGCUUCGGCGAGUUCGAGGAUUAGGCUAGUGACCUCCCCCAGUCAGCUGCCUGUGGUGGGUUUAUUUAUGUUGGCUACGUUUCUACUCUGUGUACUUUGAUUAUAUUAUGUAAAUGACUCUAGUCUGUAAUAUUAUUACUUACUAUUUAUUGUAAUUUGAAGCAUUGUGCUAUGAUGAGUCAUUUAUGUAAUCGCUGUGUACGUGAAUUUCUGAUCCUAGCACGUACAUGGUUCGCAUUCGGUUUACCUUCUAAAACCGGGUGUGACAUAAGUGGUAUCAAAGCCAUGCUGACUGUAGGACCGCUAGCCUAGAGUAGCAUUGGCCGUUUUAAGGACUUAUUGACUGUUACUUCACCUCAUCCUUGAUUCUGCUUCAAAAUAUUAGUCAUCUCGACUAAUUCUAUGUUGUGCUCCUAUAUGCCCCUUUUCCAAAAGUAUUUUAUUCUAGUAUGGUAUAUACUUCUCUCAAUCUAUUAGAACUGAUCUCACUCUUGUGCUUGCGACAUCUUUGUAGAUGGCCCCUGGCCAUAACCUUCUUGUCUUUUGGAAUUCUUUCCUCUUUCGUCAUUAAAUUGUUAUCAUUUGGCAAACUCUAGUCCUUUGGUAUUGACAUACUCAAAUCCCUGAAUUCUUCAAUUCUCUUGUUUCAAAUACUUGCCUCUAAAUUUUUAUUGCCUACUUAAACAUUUCAGUUUAUAUGACCAUGACCUUCCUGUCUUCUGAGACCCUUUCUUGUUCCAUUGUUAGGUCAUUAUCUUUCAACAAUUUCUAUUCCAUUGGUUUUAGUAUACUCGUGUCCUUAGAGUCUUGCAUACUCUCGUAUUUUUUUAUGUAUGCUUAUCUUCAUACCCGAAUAUUUGUUUAAGACAUUUCAACUUACAUGAUCUUGACCACCCUUGUUUCUUAAUGAUCCUUGAGCGGUCAUUUUACUUUGCAUAUCCUUGGUGAUCUCGUUGUCUCCUUGUAACUCCACUUGGUAAUUAAUUUUCUUUACUUCAACCAUUUUGUUGAACCUUACCUAUCUUACCCUUGCUUGUUUUCUCCACUUUGUCAGUCUUGCCUUAACUCUGUCCAUGGUUAUGCUUUUCAUCAUUAUCACCUUUACCCUUAUCACCUCUAUAUCUUACCUUGACGUUUAUCUUAUACCUGCCCUUUAAAAUCUUGUCUCUCCCAUCUCAAUCUGAGAGUUGUACAUUUUACCUAUUUUCCCUUUGGGUGUAUCCUCUUCUUUGUCACCUGCGAGUUUUUAACUCUAUCCUUUGUUGUGUUUUUGUUUGUUAUUUCCUUUAUCCUUCUCACCACUCUAUCUUGCCUUGUGAUUGCAUUAUGUCUGUUAUCUAAAAUCUCCAGUCUCCAAUCUCAAUUUGAGAGUGGUGUUUUACUUACCUCACCCUUGGCUAUAUCCUAUUCUUUACCUCGUGUAAGCUUGGACGUAACUCCAUUCUUUGUUGUACUCAUACCACUGGCUCUCCAAUGCCUUCAUCUUUUCUCUCAUACCCUUGUCUGUUGUCGCCUUUGACCCAUGCGAUAUUGAGGCCUUCUACAUAAAUGUUUACUUUGAACUUAUCCUUUAAAAGUCUCCCCUUUCUUUCAACCCAGUUUGAGGGAUGUGAGUUACCUAACUCUCCCCUGAUUUCUUUUCACUCCUUGCCUCCUUACAAGUUUUGGUCUUAAUUCCAUCCUUUGUUGUGUGUUUUAUUUGCUAUCACCAUCUCCUUGUCAUCCAUCGAUCUUGCCUUGAUACUCAUCUUUAUUCUGGCUCCUUAAAAAUCUCCUAUCUUCCAACUCCAUUGGAAAGUGGCUGCUUACCUAUCUGGCCCUUGGACGUACCCUCUCCUCUUCCAUUUGCAGGUCAUGUCUUAACGCCAUCCUUUGUGGCACUUAUAUCCUUUGUUCUUAUGACCAUUUACCUCCCCUCCUACAUCCUUGUCUGUUAUCGCCUUUAAACCCUCGUGAUAUCUAUGCCCUUGCCCUCAUGCUUACUUUGAACCUACCCUUUAAAGCCUCCUCUUUUCCAUCCCUGAUCGAGGAUAAUGCCUCACCUACUUCACCAUUGAUUGCUUCCCCUUCUUUGACACCUUGCAAUUUUUGUCUAAAAUACAUCCUUUAUUGUGUGUUUGUUCGUUAUCACCUUAACCCUUGUCAUCCCUCGAUCUUUACCUUGAUGCUUAUCUUGUACCUGCAUUUUAAGACCGCCUCUCCCAUUUCAUUUCAAGAGUGAUGUCUUACCCAUCCCGCUCUUUUUCGUUCCCUUUUCCUCCGUCGCGUUGCAAGUCUUAGCUUUUGCUCGAUAUCACCCUUACCUUCCUAAUAUCUAGAUCUUUCUAUGAUGCUUAUCCUAUGCCUACCUUUUGAAAUAUCAUAUUUCCCAUCUCGAUUUGAGAAUGGUGUUUUACCUAUCCUGACCUUGGUUGCAUUCUCUCCCUGUCGGUUCCAAUCCUUGCUUUAGCUCCAUCCUUUAUUAUGCUCAUGCCCCUAUCUUGCAUGUCUUAUUAUACCCCUUGCCUUUCAAUGGCCUUAGAGUAGUUUCCCCUUUGUAAUGAAAGACCACCAUCUAGUUAACAUUAACGUGUAGCAACGAGAUGUUUGUUGUUGUGUGCUCGUGAGUUUGUCUUUAUGUUAUGAUUGAUUUGCUUCUUUGAAAUGAGUGUUGAUGUGUUGUGGCCCUUGGUCCGCAAUGACAUCAGUUCACUAGCUGAGUGCCAUAGAGUUAGGUAGCUGGGUGCUCUCCCUUUUCUCUCUUUAAUCCAUCUAUGCUUACCUUUUCUAUCUAUACCCUUUCCUCUUGCACAUGUCCGGUUGGCAUCCUACAACCUCUCUUAAUCAGUCAAGAUCAGAGCUGGCAGCAUCUUCAUCAAGUGUGUAUCAACGCUCCUGUUAAGGGGGUUAGUCGCUAACCCCAAUGAAGACAAUGUGAUAAACAUCAACCAACAAGAUCAAAGUGGUGUAGCAGAAGUGUGUGUGGGUCCUAACCCACUGCUCCAAGAGAUCCUCAAUAAUUGCAUCGAUCGGUCUCAAGCAUCUAAAAGUCAAAGCAAACCAGUCCCCAAGUUAAGCUUGCCGAGUCAAAGUCAACUCAAGAAAGCCGUGGACAACCUACGAACCAACCUUGUUUUCUUGCUAGCUUCUUCUUGAAUCUCGGGGGCGAGAUUCCUGUUAAGGGGGUUAGAUUUGUAACACCCAGAAUUUGGGGGUAUAAAUUUUAUUUUCUAAUAUUCACCAAAUUCAGGUGUUACCCUCUCUUUUCCUUGCUUUUCUCUAAAUAAUGGAGUGUUAUUUUGUUAUAUAGUAGCGUAAGCCUACUGAAUUGAACCCUAGAGAAGGCUUGCGUGCUACUUUUCAUGUUGAAGCAUAGUUUUAUUUUCUGUCACAUUUAAUUUUAUUUAGAUUAUUUUUGGCUUGAUCUAAAAUGGAUAUAUAUAUAUGUCUACUAUGCUUGUAUAUACGAAAAG